rnacentral:rRNA from 1 species
UAGGGAAUCUUCGGCAAUGGGGGCAACCCUGACCGAGCAACGCCGCGUGAGUGAAGAAGGUUUUCGGAUCGUAAAGCUCUGUUGUAAGAGAAGAACGUGUGGGAGAGUGGAAAGUUCACACAGUGACGGUAACUUACCAGAAAGGGACGGCUAACUACGUGCCAGCAGCCGCGGUAAUACGUAGGUCCCGAGCGUUGUCCGGAUUUAUUGGGCGUAAAGCGAGCGCAGGCGGUUUAAUAAGUCUGAAGUUAAAGGCAGUGGCUUAACCAUUGUUCGCUUUGGAAACUGUUAAACUUGAGUGCAGAAGGGGAGAGUGGAAUUCCAUGUGUGGCGGUGAAAUGCGUAGAUAUAUGGAGGAACACCGGUGGCGAAAGCGGCUCUCUGGUCUGUAACUGACGCUGAGGCUCGAAAGCGUGGGGGGCAAACAGG